AACGGUAACAUUUCUAGCUUGCUAGAAGAUGACGAGUGGCGGACGGGUGAGUAAUGCUUGGGAACUUGCCUUUGCGAGGGGGAUAACAGUUGGAAACGACUGCUAAUACCGCAUAAUGUCUACGGACCAAAGGGGGCUUAGGCUCCGGCGCAAAGAGAGGCCCAAGUGAGAUUAGCUAGUUGGUAAGGUAACGGCUUACCAAGGCGACGAUCUCUAGCUGUUCUGAGAGGAAGAUCAGCCACACUGGGACUGAGACACGGCCCAGACUCCUACGGGAGGCAGCAGUGGGGAAUAUUGCACAAUGGGGGAAACCCUGAUGCAGCCAUGCCGCGUGUGUGAAGAAGGCCUUCGGGUUGUAAAGCACUUUCAGUUGUGAGGAAAAGUUAGUAGUUAAUACCUGCUAGCCGUGACGUUAACAACAGAAGAAGCACCGGCUAACUCCGUGCCAGCAGCCGCGGUAAUACGGAGGGUGCGAGCGUUAAUCGGAAUUACUGGGCGUAAAGCGCACGCAGGCGGUUUGUUAAGCUAGAUGUGAAAGCCCCGGGCUCAACCUGGGAUGGUCAUUUAGAACUGGCAGACUAGAGUCUUGGAGAGGGGAGUGGAAUUCCAGGUGUAGCGGUGAAAUGCGUAGAUAUCUGGAGGAACAUCAGUGGCGAAGGCGACUCCCUGGCCAAAGACUGACGCUCAUGUGCGAAAGUGUGGGUAGCGAACAGGAUUAGAUACCCUGGUAGUCCACACCGUAAACGCUGUCUACUAGCUGUGUGUGUCUUUAAGACGUGCGUAGCGAAGCUAACGCGCUAAGUAGACCGCCUGGGGAGUACGGCCGCAAGGUUAAAACUCAAAUGAAUUGACGGGGGCCCGCACAAGCGGUGGAGCAUGUGGUUUAAUUCGAUGCAACGCGAGACCUUACUACACUUGACAUGCUGAGAGUUACUAGAGAUAGUUCGUGCCUUCGGAACUCAGACCAGUGCU
rnacentral:rRNA from 1 species